GUUCAGGUCAGUCUUUACUGUGUGAGACAGGAUCAGGUCAGUCUGCUGUGUGAGACAGGAUCAGGUCAGUCUUUACUGUGUGAGACAGGAUCAGGUCAGUCUUUACUGUGUGAGACAGCAUCAGGUCAGUCUGCUG